GAUGAACGCUGGCGGCGUGCCUAAUACAUGCAAGUCGAGCGAACGGACGAGAAGCUUGCUUCUCUGAUGUUAGCGGCGGACGGGUGAGUAACACGUGGAUAACCUACCUAUAAGACUGGGAUAACUUCGGGAAACCGGAGCUAAUACCGGAUAAUAUUUUGAACCGCAUGGUUCAAAAGUGAAAGACGGUCUUGCUGUCACUUAUAGAUGGAUCCGCGCUGCAUUAGCUAGUUGGUAAGGUAACGGCUUACCAAGGCAACGAUGCAUAGCCGACCUGAGAGGGUGAUCGGACACACGGGAACUGAGACACGGCCGAGACUCCUACGGGAGGCAGCAGUAGGGAAUCUUCCGCAAGGGGCGAAAGCCGGACGGAGCAACGCCGCGGGAGUGAUGAAGGUCUUCGGAUCGUAAAACUCUGUUAUUAGGGAAGAACAAAUGUGUAAGUAACUGUGCACAUCUUGACGGUACCUAAUCAGAAAGCCACGGCUAACUACGUG
rnacentral:rRNA from 1 species